rnacentral:rRNA from 1 species
UGAAGUGGAUGAGUCGUAUCAGUAUAUCACUUUAUACUGUGAAACUGCGAAUGGCUCAUUAAAUCAGUUAUCGUUUAUUUGAUAGUACCUUACUACAUGGAUACCUGUGGUAAUUCUAGAGCUAAUACAUGCUAAAAACCCCGACUUCAGGAAGGGGUGUAUUUAUUAUAUAAAAAACCAACGCCCUUCGGGGCUCCUUGGUGAAUCAUAAUAACUUAACGAAUCGAUUGGCCUUGCCCCGGCGACGGUUCAUUCAAAUUUCUGCCCCUGUCACUUUAGAUGGCAGGAAAGCGACAUCACCUGGUGGCAACGGGGAACGGGUAAUUUGGGUUCUUUUCCCGAGAGGGACCCAUAGAAACCGUUACAAGCCCGCGGCCCGGCAAUGCGGACGGAGCAUUUUAUGGGCCAUGGUUUCGUUCUUAACCAAUUUAACUGAACAAGGGCUCCUCCGGGUAAGACCGGUGUGCACCCACCAUUUAAAAAUUCAGAACGAGGUUCUCAUGCUGGCAACCUUUAUUUUCCCGGGACUGGGGAAUUUCCCCGCGGUUUAGCCCAAAAUUAAACCGAAGGGCUCCCCGCCCUGGUGGAGCCCUUCCCCUC